AUGGAACUGGAAGCUGAGGAGAAACCAAUCAACUGUGGAACAGCUGAACAAAUUGUCAUGGACAGCCCCAGAUCCUUAGACCCAGAUAAAUGCCAGCUUAUGGGUGAGGUCUCUGCUCAGCAGUAUCCAAGGCCAGGGGAGGAGAUGGGGGCCCAGGCUCAGCUCCUCUGCUCUCUGCUGCUCUGGAUCUCAGGUUCCAGGGGGGCCAUUGUGGUGACUCAGUCUCCAGAAUUUUUGUCAGUGUCUCCAGGAGAGAGGGUCACCCUUAGCUGCAAGACCAGCUCGGGUGUUAGUAAUGAUUUAGAUUGGUACCAACAGAAGCCAGGGGAGGCUCCCAAGCUCCUAAUUUAUUAUACAAACAACCUGCAUACUGGGGUCCCUGCCCGGUUCAGUGGCAGUGGAUCUGGCACAGAUUACUCCCUCACAAUCAGUAAAGUGGAGACUGAGGACGCUGCAGUCUAUUACUGCCAGCAGGACUAUAGCUGGCCUCUCACAGUGAUACAUGCAAUAGAUCUGAUCCUGAAACAGGGGGGAAGAUACUACCCGGAGGCUGUGGAGCCAGGAGGCAGGAUCCAGGGUCCAUCUGUGGGACAGUGA